UGGUAGAUGCACCCUGAUUUCAACUCCCUGACCUGCUGGCGUGGGUCGGGGAUUUUUUUU
rnacentral:sRNA from 1 species